GUUUCAGCUCCUCAAGGAGCUUUCAUCAGGACCUGAUGAAAGCUCCUUGAGGAGCUGAAAC
rnacentral:miRNA from 1 species